GAUGAACGCUGACAGAAUGCUUAACACAUGCAAGUCUUUGGCGAAGCUGUGCUUGCACAGCCUAGCCAAGGCGGACGGGUGAGUAACGCGUAAGGAACUUGCCCUGCAGUCAGGGAUAACAGACGGAAACGACUGAUAAGACCUGGUAAAGUCAGGCGGACUCAUGUCCAGCCUGAUGAAAAGAGAUGCUGCAGGAGAGCCUUGCGUCCUAUUAGCUUGUUGGUGGGGUAACGGCCCACCAAGGCGAUGAUAGGUAGCCGGCCUGAGAGGGUGGACGGCCACAAGGGGACUGAGAUACGGCCCUUACUCCUACGGGAGGCAGCAGUGGGGAAUAUUGGACAAUGGGGGCAACCCUGAUCCAGCAAUUCUGUGUGCACGAUGAAGGUUUUCGGAUUGUAAAGUGCUUUCAGCAGGGAAGAAAAAAUGACGGUACCUGCAGAAGAGGCGACGGCUAAAUACGUG
rnacentral:rRNA from 1 species